rnacentral:rRNA from 1 species
CAGUCGAGCGGUAGAGAGAAGCUUGCUUCUCUUGAGAGCGGCGGACGGGUGAGUAAUGCCUAGGAAUCUGCCUGGUAGUGGGGGAUAACGUCCGGAAACGGACGCUAAUACCGCAUACGUCCUACGGGAGAAAGCAGGGGACCUUCGGGCCUUGCGCUAUCAGAUGAGCCUAGGUCGGAUUAGCUAGUUGGUGGGGUAAUGGCUCACCAAGGCGACGAUCCGUAACUGGUCUGAGAGGAUGAUCAGUCACACUGGAACUGAGACACGGUCCAGACUCCUACGGGAGGCAGCAGUGGGGAAUAUUGGACAAUGGGCGAAAGCCUGAUCCAGCCAUGCCGCGUGUGUGAAGAAGGUCUUCGGAUUGUAAAGCACUUUAAGUUGGGAGGAAGGGCAGUAAAUUAAUACUUUGCUGUUUUGACGUUACCGACAGAAUAAGCACCGGCUAACUCUGUGCCAGCAGCCGCGGUAAUACAGAGGGUGCAAGCGUUAAUCGGAAUUACUGGGCGUAAAGCGCGCGUAGGUGGUUCGUUAAGUUGGAUGUGAAAUCCCCGGGCUCAACCUGGGAACUGCAUUCAAAACUGACGAGCUAGAGUAUGGUAGAGGGUGGUGGAAUUUCCUGUGUUGCGGUGAAAUGCGUAGAUAUAGGAAGGAACACCAGUGGCGAAAGCGACCACCUGGACUGAUACUGACACUGAGUGCGAAAGCGUGGGGAGCAAAC